UCUCUCUGAAUCUGCGAACGGCUCCGCAAACCAGUUGUAAACUAUAGCAAGCAAGCGUAGCCCUGGCCUUCACGGGUUGGGACUGGGCGAUAUGGAUAACCCUGGUAAUUCUGAGGCUAAUACAAGAACGUAACCCCUGGUUAACCGGCUUCGGCUGGGAGGCUGGGAAACGUGCGAAUGCGGCGCAGAUGAACCGGGAAUGGACGCACGUUUAGACCACGCACAAAAGGAUCAGGUACCUCACGGAAGGAAAGCCUGGCCCCAGUGGCUCUUGCGGUGUGCUUCUGACCUAUCAACUAGACGGCAGCGUAACGGACAUGCUAUGGUUACAACGGGUACAGAGGAUAAGGGUUCGAUCCUGGAGAGUGGGCCUGAGAGAUU
rnacentral:rRNA from 1 species